rnacentral:rRNA from 1 species
UGGAGCGAAACUCAAAAAAUAAGUCUCAGUUCGGAUUGAAGGCUGAAAUUCGCCUUCAUGAAGCUGGAAUUGCUAGUAAUGGCAGGUCAGCAUACUGCCGUGAAUACGUUCCCGGGCCUUGUACACACCGCCCGUCACACCAUGAGAGUUGGGAAUACCCGAAGCCUGUGAGCUAACAUUUAUGAGGCAGCAGUCGAAGGUAGAAUCAAUGAUUGGGGUGAAGUCGUAACAAGGUAAC